rnacentral:lncRNA from 1 species
GCCAGAUAAGGGAAGCAGGCCUCCGAAGCCAGCAGUGGCAACCCACUUGGGUCCCUUUCAAUGCUGUGGAAGCGUUGUUCUUUCACUCUUCUCAAUAAAUCUUGCUGCUGCUCACUCUUUGGGUCUGCCCCGCUGUUAUGAGCUGUAACACUCACAGCCAGUGUCUGCAGUUUCACUCCUGAAGCCAGCAAGACCACAAACCCACAGGGCGGGACAAACAACUCCGGACAGGAGGAAUGAACAACUCUGGACGCGCCACUUCUAUGAACUUUUAUGAACUGUAACACUCACCGCAAAGGUCUGCAGCUUCACCCCUGAGGCCAGGGAGACCACGAACCCACCGGAAGGAAUGAACAACUCCAGACGCACUGCCUUUAAGAGCUGUAACACUUACCACGGAUGUCUGCAGCUUCACUCCUGAAGUCAGCGAGACCACAAACCCAACAGAAGGAAGAAACUCCCGACACAUCUGAACAUCUGAAGGAACAAACUCUGGACACACCAUCUUUAAGAACUGUAACACUCACCGUGAGGGUCAACCGCUUCAUUCUUGAAGUCAGCCAGACCAAGAACCCACCAAUUCCGAGUCUCACUUUGUUGCCUAAGCUAGAGUGCAGCGUCGUGAUCAAGGCUCACUGCAGCCUCAACAUCCUGAUCCCCAGUGUUCCUCCCACCUCAACCUCCCAAGUAGCUGGGACCACAGGUCUUCCUUACAAGAACUCCUGAAGGAAGUAUUAAAUAUGGAAAGGAAAAACUGGUACCAACCACUGCAAAAACAUACCAACUUGUGAAGACCCACAACACUAUGAAGAAACUGCAUCAACUAAUGGACAAAAUAAAGAGCUAGCAUCAAAAAGACAGGAUCAAAUUCACACAUAACAAUAUUAAUCUUAAAUGUAAAUGGGCUAAUGCCCCAAUUAAAAGACACAGACAGGCAAAUUGGAUAAAGAGUCAAGACCCAUCAGUGUGCUAUAUUCAGGAGACCCAUCUCCCAUGCAAAGACACACAGAGGCUCAAAAUUAAGGGAUAGAGGAAUAUUUACCAAGCAAAUAGAAAGCAAGAAAAGCAGGGGUUGCAAUCCUAGUCUCUGAUAAAACAGACUUUAAAUAAACAAAGAUCAAAAAAGACAAAGAAGGGCAUUACAUAAUGGUAAAGGGACGAAUGCAAGAAGAAGAGAUAACUAUCUUAAAUAUAUCUUGGGCACUCAAUACAAGAAUACCCAGAUUCAUUAAGCAAGUUCUUAGAGAUGUACAAAGAGACUUAGACUGCCACACAAUAAUAGUGGGAGACUUUAACACACCACUGUCAAUAUUAGACAGUUCAACAAGACAGAAAAUUAACAAGGAUAUUCAGGACUUGAACUCAGCUCUGGACAAAGCAGAUGUAAUAGACACCCACAAAACUCUCCACCUCAAAUCAACAGAAUAUACAUUCUUCUCAGCACCACGUCACACUUAUUCUAAAAUUGACCACAUAAUUGGAAGUAAAACACUCCUCAGCCAAUGUAAAAAAUGGAAAUCAUAACAAACAGUCUCUCAGAACACAGGGACACUGAACAACCUGCUCCUGAAUGACUACUGGGUAAAUAACGAAAUUAAAGCAGAAAUGAAUAAGUUCUUUGAAACCAAUGAGAACAAAGACACAACGUACCAGAAACUCUGGGACGCAGCUAAAGGAAUGUUGACAGGGAAAUUUAUAGCACUAAAUGCCCACAUGAAGAAGCGGGAGGAUCUAAAAUCAACACCCUAACAUCACAGUUAAAGAACUAGAGAAACAAGAGCAAACAAAUUCAAAAGCUAGCAGAAAACAAGAAAUAAUUAAGAUGAGAGCAGAACUGAAGGAGAUAGAGACACAAAAAAUCCUUCAAAAAAAUCAGUGAAUCCAGGAGCUGGUUUUUUGAAAAGAUUAACAAAAUAGAUAGACCGCUAGCUAUAGUAAUAAAGAAGAAAAGAGAGAAAAAUCAAAUAGAUGUAAUAAGAAAUGAUAAAGGGGAUAUCACCACUGAUCCCACAGAAAUACAAACUGCCAUCAGAGAAUACUAUAAACACCUCUAUGCAAAUAAACUAGAAAAUCUAGAAGAAAUGGAUAAAUUCCUGGACACAUACACCCUCCCAUGACUAAACCAGGAAGAAGUCGAAUCCCUAAAUAGAUCAAUAACAAGUUCUGAAAUUGAGGUAGUAAUUAACAGCCUACCAACCAAGAAAAGCCCAGGACCAGACAGAUUCACAGCCGAUUUCUAUCAGAGGUACAAAAAGGAGCUGGUACCAUUUCUCCUGAAACUAUUCCAAACAACAGGAAAAGAGAGACUCUUCCCUAACUCAUUUUAUGAGGCCAGCAUCAUCCUGAUACAGAAACCUGGCAGAGAUACAACAGUAAAGGAACAUUUCAGGCAAAUAAUGCUGAUAAACAUCGAUGCAAAAACCCUCAAUAUAAUACUGGCAAACUGAAUCCAAGAGCACAUCAAAAGCUUAUCCACCAUGAUCAAGUCAGCUUCAUCCAUGGGAUGCAAGGCUGGCUCAACAUAUACAAAUUAAUGAACAUAAUCCAUCAUAUAAACAGAACCAAUGACAAAAGCCACAUGAUUAUCGCAAGAGAUGCAGAAAAGGCCUCCGAUAAAAUUCAACACAUCUUCAUGCUAAAAACUCUCAAUAAACUAGAUAUUGAUGGAACGUAUCUCAAAAUAAUAAGAGCUAUUUAAGACAAACCCACAGCCAAUAUCACACUGAAUGGACAAAAGCUGGAAGCAUUCUCUUUGAAAACCGGCACAAGACAAGGAUGCCCUCUCUCACCACUCCUAUUCAACAUAGUGUUGGAAGUUCUGGCCAGGGCAAUCAGGCAAGAGAAAGAAAGAAGGGUAUUUAAAUAGGAACAGAGGAAGUCAAAUUGUCUCUGUUUGCAGAUGACAUGAUUGUAUAUCUAGAAAACCCCAUCGUCUCAGCCCAAAAUCUCCUUUAGCUGAUAAGCAAGUUCAGCAAAGUCUCAGGAUACAAAAUCAAUGUACAAAAAUCACAGGCAUUCCUAUACACCAAUAAUAGACAGAUAGCCAAAUUGUGAGUGAACUCCCAUUCACAAUUGCUACCAAGAGAAUAAAAUACCCAGGAAUACAACUUACAAGGGAUGUGAAGGACCUCUUCGUGGAGAAUGACGAACUACUGCUCAAGGAAAUAGGAGAGGACACAAACAAAUGAAAAAAUUUUCAUGGUUAUGGAUAGGAAGAAUCAAUGUCGUGAAAAUGGCCAUACUGCUCAAAGUAAUUUAUAUAUUCAACAACAAUAUUCUUUAAGUGAUUUUUGUAUGAUAGGGAGACUGCCUUCCAUCAAUUGAUGCACUUAUAAUUUAAUAUUUAAAAGUUCCAGGAAAUUUUUGGCAGUGAGAAACAAAACAAAAUGAAAGUGCUUGAAACCUGGGGACCUGGAGCCAUCACUUACAAUAUAGACAGGCGCCAACAGCCUUUUUUGCUUGUGGAAGUACCUCAGUCUUUUUAUACUGAUAUGAGUAUUGAAAAUGCUCAGUAAAUAUUUGUUGAAUAAUAAGUGAUCAGUCAUUUAUAUCAGAAGUAUACUUAAACUAGAAAGAGGAAACAUAGAAUCAGGCCUGAAACUGAAGCUGGAAGUCGAUGCAGAGUGAACGGAUAUAUCAGAAUCCAAAGUCUCAGCAAUGUGAUAGGUGCAAAGAUAACUAUCCGUUCUGGAAGACACAACGCAAGCAAAUUAAGCCUUGAAAGGCAAAUGACUUGACAUCACAUGUUAGGCAACCUUUUCUAUUGUUCUUCGCCUCAGAGAAUAAAUGUUUGAGUAAGACUUUCCAAACUGCUUGCAUGUUUUGUCUAUGAAUGCCAGAUGCCUCUAGUGAGCCACCUUGAAUCACUAUUCUGAAUACAUCUUGAGUAAAAAGAGAAAAUUGCUCAUGUUUCCAUGUCUAUCUGAAUCAUGUUAUUGGACCAUGAGAGCAAGCAGCUGGAUCUCAUUCUGUCCAGGACUCCUGGAAACAGCAGCUCUAACAAAAUUGUCUUCAAUAAAUAAGUUUUUUUGCAUCACAUUUGUGUAUGUCCUGAAUGUUCUGAGCCCUUCAGAUUUGACUCAUAUUCAUGCUAAAAGAAAAAAUGCAAAUGAAAAUUGUAUAGCUAAUUAUGAGAAAAAUAAAGCAUCAUAAGAAAACCA